UUCAAAAAAUUCGAGAGCAAGACGUACGGUAGAGUAAUCAGAUGGUGGAGUAUUUGAUUAUAUCUUGAGCGGUAACAACCUGCAUCGCCAGAUCUCAUAAGAUGGUUCUUCCUCUUUACUAUUUAGCAAUCCGAGCACCUAGCUAGAAACGAGGCCCAAUUAGACACUGUUCGGCUCUCGUCUCCUAAAUAUUGUUUCAAACAAAUGCUAGAUGAAAAAGAAGGUUUUUUUUAUGUUAAAAUCAUGUUAAGGAACCACUUUUACUUUCCUAGAUUUAACGAACAACUCUUGACACUGUUGGUGUUUUCUUAGUUUGGGAAACAACAAGGGAAUUCUCAAUUCAGAUUUUCGCUCCCAAAACCAGUUUUCCUUAUCAGAGUACUGUUUUUCUGUCACUCUCUGCUCUAAAACCUCCUAAAUAUUGUUUCAAACAAAUGCUAGAUGAAAAAGAAGGUUUUUUUUAUGUUAAAAUCAUUUUCUCAACUUUCAUCCAUUGAAUUGGGAGGCUUUUUUGUGCCUUUUUGUUAAAUUUUUUUUUAUAUAAGUAAAAGACUAAUCUCAUUAAAAGCGUAAGGCGUCCCUAAGUAUACAAUAAGUAUACAGAAUAAACAUCUAACUAGAAAGAGCAAAACAAACUAAGAAAUCACUAUAGUUAAGCAACAAAGGAGAAUCAAACGUGGCUGUCCAAAAACCAGCACUUUCUCAAAAAAUAAUAUAUCACUUACAGUUCAUCAGGUAUCCCAGUUCCAAAGAAAAAGUUGGAAUAAAACAGAAAUCCAAAACAAAAGAAUCAAGAACCCAUCAAAAGCACAAAACCCAUAGGCAAAAACACAGCACCGACCACUCAAAUCUGAGAAAAUCAAAUUUUAUAUAUAUAGAGAGAGAGAGAGAGAGAAUAAUUUGGUGAGUGAACAGUACUUACUAAGUACUCUUCACUCACCAAAGUGUUUUGGUUAGAAUAGUGAGUAUGCUAUAAAGUAUCGUAAAAUAAAAAUAAAAUUUCUUCCAACAACCUCUCAUUGUCUUCAAAGUUCCUAUCAUUCAUUUUUCCUCACAAAACACCAAAACAGGCAAGUAUGCACCAUUUUUCACACUACAACUUUCAUUCAUAAGAUGGUUCUUCCUCUUUACUAUUUAGCAAUGUUAAGGAACCACUUUUACUUUCCUAGAUUUAACGAACAACUCUUGACACUGUUGGUGUUUUCUUAGUUUGGGAAACAACAAGGGAAUCCGUUUCAUGGGUUUUUUAAGAGUUUUUCUUACAUUUAGGAAAAUGACUGGAUUUUAGGGAAGGGUAGUCAUUGCUAUUGCGGUUAAACUCUAAAAACUGUUCCCAUUCAAAAGCAACAACCUCUUCAAAAAAAUCAAAGAGAAAACAUCAAAGUCCACCGUUCCCAAUUACAGCACUAAAAACUGUUCCCAUUCCUCUAUUGCUAGUACCACAAAAACAGAAGCGCAAUAUCUAAUUCAAAAGCAACAACCUCUUCAAAAAAAUCAAAGAGAAAACAUCAAAGUCCCCACCGACGGAGACGCUCGACAGAGGCAUUCUUAGUGCGGGUAAUAUCGAAAGGGCCAGACGACUCCUCGUCGUCUUCGGAGGGUGGAGCUCUGUUGGAAUGGCUUCCACCGGCCUCCAAAUCCGUGUUGCGCUGGCCUUGAGGCGAUCUCUUGAAGUUGCUCAUUACUGUCGCAGGAGAGAUGGCACCGUCACACUCUAAUUACGUCUCUUCUCAAUACGCAUCAAAUCCACAAACAAAAUCCCUCUCACAAUCUCAAAAAAAAGAGAGAGAGAGAGAGAGAGAGAGAAUUUCAGGGUUGUAUAGUUUACCGGAGCUGAAAAACGGUGUAACCAAACACAAAACUCUUCACCUGCACAAUUUACCUUCCCUUCCUCUUCCUCGUCCCACUUAUUUUUUUGUCUUUUCUCCCCGAGAAACUUCUUCUAAUUACGUCUCUUCUCAAUACGCAUCAAAUCCACAAACAAAAUCCCUCUCACAAUCUCAAAAUUAGCACUUUCUCAACUUUCAUCCAUUGCUGGAAAGUUCCUAAUGUGAAUUCAAAAAAUUCGAGAGCAAGACGUACGGUAGAGUAAUCAGAUGGUGGAGUAUUUGAUUAUAUCUUGAGCGGUAACAACCUGCAUCGCCAGAUCUCAUAAGAUGGUUCUUCCUCUUUACUAUUUAGCAAUCCAGCACUACCGUUCCCAGUUACAAAAAAAUAAUAUAUCACUUACAGUUCAUCAGGUAUCCCAGUUCCAAAAAAAAGUUGGAAAAAAACAGAAACCCAAAACAAAAGAAUCAAGAACCCAUCAAAGCACAAAACCCAUAGGCAAAAACACAGCGCCGACCACUCAAAUCUCAGAAAAUCAAAUUAUAUAUAUAUAUAUAUAUAGAGGGAGAUAGAUAGAUAGAGAGAGAGAGAGAGAGAGAGAGAGCAUCGAAGACGUACCCUUUCUCAACUUUCAUUCAUAAGAUGGUUCUUCCUCUUUACUAUUUAGCAAUCCAUCCGUUUCAUGGGUUUUUUAAUGGCACCGUCACACAGUGCUCUAAAACCUCAAUUCAGAUUUUCGCUCCCAAAACCAGUUUUCCUUAUCAGAGUACUGUUUUUCUGUCACUCUCAAACACUCAUCUUUUUUAGUUUUUUCCCCCGUCAGAUUCACUCUAGCCCUAGAAAACUCUCAGUAACAAACACUCAUCUUUUUUAGUUUUUUCCCCCGUCAGAUUCACUCUAGCCCUAGAAAACUCUCAGUAACCUAGAAACGAGGCCCAAUUAGACACUGUUCGGCUCUCGUAAUAGGCCCAAACAAGCCUCGGGUUGGGUUCAUAUCCGGGUACCGUUUUGGAAGGAUUAAAUUUAAACAAUAAAU
rnacentral:lncRNA from 1 species